UAAAACAUUAAUAAAUAAAUUUUAUGGAGUGUACUGUUCCAUCGUCAUUCGAAUACAUUAGUGCGAUUAAUAAUUAAAAAAAAAACUUAAAGGAAAAGAGUAAAAAACACCUUUUUAUAUAUUCCCUAAAAUGGCUUGUUAAUUUUCCAUCACCCAAAUCUCUCUAGCACAGUGUGCCCUUUUGAUACUGUGGAGGACAACUAAACCACAAUACCUCUUUUUCUUGAAUAUUCUGAUGGGUAAUUGCAUCCAGU
rnacentral:lncRNA from 1 species